AUUGAACGCUGGCGGCAGGCUUAACACAUGCAAGUCGAACGGUAGCAGGAGGAAGCUUGCUUUCUUGCUGACGAGUGGCGGACGGGUGAGUAAUGCUUGGGAAUCUGGCUUAUGGAGGGGGAUAACGACGGGAAACUGUCGCUAAUACCGCGUAGUGUCGAGAGACGAAAGGGUGGGACUUUUAGCCACCUGCCAUGAGAUGAGCCCAAGUGGGAUUAGGUAGUUGGUGGGGUAAAGGCCUACCAAGCCUGCGAUCUCUAGCUGGUCUGAGAGGAUGACCAGCCACACUGGAACUGAGACACGGUCCAGACUCCUACGGGAGGCAGCAGUGGGGAAUAUUGCGCAAUGGGGGGAACCCUGACGCAGCCAUGCCGCGUGAAUGAAGAAGGCCUUCGGGUUGUAAAGUUCUUUCGGUAUUGAGGAAGGUUGAUGUGUUAAUAGUACAUCAAAUUGACGUUAAAUACAGAAGAAGCACCGGCUAACUCCGUGCCAGCAGCCGCGGUAAUACGGAGGGUGCGAGCGUUAAUCUGAAUAACUGGGCGUAAAGGGCACGCAUGCGGUUAUUUAAGUGAGGUGUGAAAGCCCCCGGUCUUAACCUGUGAUUGCAUUUCAUACUGGGUAAUUUAUAGUACUUUUGUGGAGGGGUAGAAUUUCUCGUGUUGCGGGUGAAAUGCUGAUAAUGUGGAGGAAUACCGGUGGUGAAGUGUUCCCCUUGUGGACUGUCUGUUGCUCUGGUCGAAUGCGUGGGGAGUGAAUAAU
rnacentral:rRNA from 1 species